GUGCACCAGUUGCGAAAACUUGUCAAUGCACGAAAGUGUGAACGGGCUACCCCGAGUGCCGUCCGCUGAGGAUGGCUUUUCUCUGCUGUAAGAAGGCAGAUGAAUAAGGAGAGGGCAAGUCUGGUGUCAGCCGCCGCGGUAAUACCAGCUCUCCGAGUGGUAGGGAUGAUUAUUGGGCUUAAAGCGUCCGUAGCUGACCUUUCAAGUCUCUUGUUAAAUCCAGCGAUUCAAUCGUUGGACUGCGGGAGAUACUGUGAGGCUAGGGGGCGGGAGAAGCCGACGGUAUUUCCGGGGUAGGGGUAAAAUCCUAUAAUCCCGGAAGGACCACCAGUGGCGAAGGCGGCCGACAAAAACGCGCCCGACGGUGAGGGACGAAAGCUGGGGGAGCGAUCGGGAUUAGAUACCCGUGUAGUCC
rnacentral:rRNA from 1 species